AAUCCUAAUCAAUUGUGGACAUUUGUUCUCUUUUAUCAAUUUUUACAUUAAAGCUGCAAAAUGUAGCGACCCAACCAAAUUUACAUAGAAAUGUGUGUUAACAGAUCUGUCAUUCUCAUCGAAUGCAAGUUUAAGAAACAGUAGAUAUGUUUUAUGUGUUCUAUUUCUAUGUUUCCUCUUAAGUUUCGGUUUUGCUUUUUUUACUUUGGGUUUUGUACACCAGCUUCAAACAGCUGAAAACACAAUAUUUAUGGUUAUGGAAAAUAUAUAUUCACAGUUGUUUAUACGGUACUAUAUACUUGCUUGUUUUGUGACAUAAACAUAAUUUUUGCAACCAGAAAGUGGUGGAGCGAUUUCUGCAUAGUGCAUCUUUAAAUGAUUGUGUUUUUUUAUUAUAUGUUUUAUUACCUUGUCUUUUUUUUACCAACUGUUGUGAUAAUUUUAUUUGUAUUGUCUUAUUGUCUAUUGAUUGACUCUGCUACUUUACAUUCAUUCUGCAGUUGAGGAAGAGCUGCAAGUAAUACUUUCAUUGUACUAUUUACACAUUGUACUAUUUACCUGUGAUCCUGACAAAUAAACUUUGAUUUUAUUCAAUACUUUAUUCAAAUAUAAUAUUAUUUGUGCAGAAUAGUGCUGAGCGAUUAAACAUCACAUUUUUUGUGAGCCCAACGUGCAGUUUCUCCGGGGAUGCGUUCGUAAAUUCACGCUGACUAUCUAUUCCGAUAUUCAGAGUGCUCUCGUCUGAGUGUGCCAGAGUGCAGAAUAACAAUUUAAUUUACGAGACGCGCAACACACAUAUGACCUGUGUCAGUAAAAGUCGGCAAAAAACGUAAUUAAAUUGUUGCCAGCAGCACAGAUACAGUCACUAACGCUCUAGAUAACAUGAAAACAGCCUAACAGUUCUUCUAGGAGGAGAAAAAUGGGGUGUUCUCAUGUAUGUCUGAAGGGAGUUGUAGUUUUCAUUAAACAUAUUCAACCGAGUUCAGGUCAGAAACGUGGUAAUUAACUACAAUCCCACACUCCAUUGCGCCAUUUCCCCCGAGGUUUCACUCUCGCCAAAAUAAGCCCAAAAAGUAUUUGAUCCCCUGCUGAUUUUGUACGUUUGCCCACUGACAAAGAAAUGAUCAGUCUAUAAUUUUAACGGUAGGUUUUGUUGAACAGUGAGCGACAGAAUAACAACAACAAAAUCCAGAAAAACACAUGUCAAAAAUGUUAUAAAUUGAUUUGCAUUUUAAGUAUACUUUAGCAAUUACAUUUACUUUUGAUGAGUAUAUUUAAAACCAAAUACUUUUAGACUUUUACUCAAGUAGUAUUUUACUGGGUGACUUUCACUUUUACUUGAGUAAAAGUACAGGUAUAUCUUCAUAGAAAUGACUCAAACACGACUGUUGGGGACUUUUUCCACCACUGCUUGUUUGUAUAGUGCAUAAGUAGUCAAAACAUUACAGGCAGACGACACCGGUUUUUCAGCUCGUGGCUGCACUUCCUGUGCUUGUGACCACAGAAGAAGGCAACAAGAAUAGGGUUGAAUGGGGGAACCCUCUCCCUUUUCCCGGGAAUAAAUAACUGCGAGAAACAGGGGGAAGGUCCUCUUCUUGUCGCGGCCCAUGCGGUUGCGGUUGAUGGUGGUGGAGCAGGGAACAGCGUCCAGGUGGUGGGAGCUGUUGGGCAGUGUGGGGACCCACUGGCUGUUCCUCUUCCCCUUCUGCUCCCUGAGAUGGACAGAGAAAUGGGGGCAUUUGAGAAUGUAAGACUGUGACCAAUGAAACCCAUUUGGGUUUUUAAUCCAUUUUAGAACAAGGCUGUAACGUAACAAAAUGUGGAAAGAGUCGAGGGGUCUGAAUACUUUCCGAAUGCACUGUAUAGUAUAUGCAUCAAACUACUAAUUAUACAAAUAGGCCCUACUAUAUUUCAAAAUCAAAUUCGCUAUAUUUUGAAAUCAAAUUCGCUAGCCUAUACUUUUUACUUUGUAGGCUGUCACGCCUGCUCCCGCUCUCCCUCUCUGGCGUUCGAGGGCGCCAGGCUGCCCUUCAUUAUGCACACCUGUCACCUUCAUUACGAGCAGCUGCGCAAUAUUGGACUCACCUGGACACCUACCUUGUUUAAUACCCCCUAUAUAACUGUCUGCUCCCCCAUUUGUUCCCUGUGUCAGCAUUAAUGUCUUUAUGUGUUCAUGUCCAGAUGCUGUCCUGUCCUGUUCCCAUUAAAUGUUCACUCCCUGUACCUGUUUAUCGUCUCUACCAGCGUCGAUCCUUACAGAAUGCUGACAGCAUGAAAAGAAGCAUCAGGGAGUUUUUUUUUUUUUUGGUUGGUGAAGUCGGGUCCGGGUGUGCCUCAGCUAGCUCGUCGGGCUUCCACGCCUUAGCUGGCUCAAGAGGUCUUCUUGCCUCGGUGGGCUCGUCAAGCUCCCACCCCACAUCAUGCUUCAGCCGGCCCAUCAAGCUCCCACUUCUCAGCCGGUUCGUGGGGCUCCCACGCCUCAGCGGGAUCGUCAGGCUUUCACACCUGUGCCGGUUCGUCAGACUCCCACACCUCAGCCGGCUCGCCAGGCUCCCACGCCUCAGCCGGCUUGUCGGGCUUCUACGCCCCCAGCCGGCUUAUCCAGCGCCCUUGCCUCGGCCGGCCCACCAUACUCGCCUAGGUGGGAUGCCGGGUGGUGCCCCUAGAGGGGGGGUACUGUCACGCCCGCUCCCGCUCUCCCUCUCUGCCGCUCAAGGGUGCCAGGCUGCCCUUCAUUACGCACACCUGUCACCAUCAUUACGCGCAGCGGUGCAAUAUUGGACUCACCUGGACUCCAUUACCUUGUUGAUUACCCCCUUUAUAACUGUUUAUUCCCUGUGUCAGCAUUAAUGUUGUUAUUUGUUCAUGUCCAGAUGCUGUCCUGUCCUGUUCCAUGUUCGUUGCUAUUAAAUGUUCACUCCCUGUACCUGCUUCUCAUCUCUACCAGUGUUGAUCCUAACAGUAGGCCGCAUGUGCUGCACCAGAAUCACAUGUUCUCUUCUGUUUUAUCAUGGUUUGAACGAAUUCCAGUCCAUAUAAUACAAUACAGCAUAGUAAUACAGUUUAAACUCCAAAAAUUUGCCGACUGGAGCUCAUUUAAUUUAUUUCCCCAAGAAAGCAUAUAGCUAGCUACAUUUAUGGGCUUUUAUGUUUUUCUGUUGUGCGUAAUGUGCAGUAACCUAUGAAUCAUAUAUGUAUUGGACAAUAAUUUGGGCUUUUAAAAAAAAAUGUUGUUAAUGUAGGGCUCAUAAAAUGUAUUUAAUAUAUGACUCAUCAGGCUCAGGUAGCAUCAGGUUUGAAUUUUCAUGCUGAUCAGAGCUCAAAUCAAAUCCAGACACACAGUAAGUCAUAAUUAUGUUUGGUUAAUUUGGAAUAAGCUUUUAUUUUAAUAUUUACCACUGUAGCAAUACAACAAACUAUCAUGGUCCAAACACACCAAGAAAGUUGUGAAAAGGGCACGACAACACCUUUUCCCCCUCAGGAGACUGAAAAGAUUUGGCAUGGGUCCUCAGAUCCUCAAAAAGUUCUACAGCUGCACUAUCGAAAGCAUCCUGACUGGUUACAUCACCGCCUGGUCUGGCAACUGCUUGGCAUCCGACCUUAAGGUGUUACAGAGGGUAGUGCGUACAGCCAAGUACAUCACUGGGGCCAAGCUUCCUGCCAUCCAGGACCUAUAUACCAGGCGGUGUCAGAGGAAGACCCCAAAAAAUGUAAAAGACUCCAGUCACCCGUCAUAGGCUGUUCUCUCUGCUACCACACAGCAAGCGCUAGCCAAGUCUGGGUCCAAAAGGCUCCUACCCCAAAGCCAUAAGACUGCUGAACAACUAAUCAAAUGACCACCCGGACUGUUUGCAUUGACCCCCCCCCCCCCCCCUUUGUUUUUACGCUGCUGCUACUCGCUGUUUAUUAUCUAUGCAUUGUCACUUUACCCCUACCUACACGUACAAAUUACCUCGACUAACCUGUAUCCCCACACGUUCACUCAGUACCGGUACCACCUGUAUAUAGCCUCAUUAAUGUUAUUUUAUUGUGUUACUUUAUUCAUUUUCUUUUACUUUAGUUAUUUAGUAAAUAUUUUCUUAACUGCAUUUCACAUUAAGGUCUACACAUGUUGUAUUCAGCGCAUGUGACAAAUACAAUUGGAUUUUUAUUGCAUUUUAAAUAAAUAGGAGAAUUGUUAAAUUAGCAUAAUUGAAAGACCCUCUCCCAAAGUAUUACUAUGUUGCAUUUAGGUGACUCGUAGCAUUCAGGGGGUCUGUUACCCCCACUGGUCCCCCGUAAUCCAAAUCGUGUGAUGAUGAUUGGAGGACAAUAUUUGCGGGCUCUGUUAAUUUAGGGCCACGUGCUACAUCAUGGACUACCUUUAUGACAUUAUGUUUUUAUGGAGGCACACAUGAGAGACUACUUUGAUCCCUCAUGAGUCGUCACUGUCUUGCAUCCUUUAUUAGGCUAAUCAAUUAGGCACACAUGCAUAGUAAUGCACACUUCUACAUUUGUGAAAUAGGACAGAUAUAAGCACCCAUCAAAUUAUUAUUAAACAAGUAAUUACAUUUCAGAGAUCUCAAGUUCUGCUCCCGUCCAGCAGGUGGUACUGGAGCAUCGGGUUGAGGACCAACAGGCUCCAAAAGAGCUUAUUUUCCCAGGCCAUAAGACUGUUUAAUAGCAUAAAACUUGAAUAGCUGACCACCCCUGCCCUCUCUCUCUUCCACAGACUACCUGCACGGACUCUAUGCCCAUCCUCAGGUCUCUACCACUUAGCCACAUACACCUACACUGACACUCUUCACAUCCACGUAUACACACACACUCAUGCACCCAUGCUCACACACUCCCCACUGACACCUCACACAUACACUCACACUCAAUCAUUACCAUGCACGCACCACAUAUGCUGCUGCCAUAAUUGAUUGAUUUAUUAUAGGGAUUCAUAUUACCAUCCGAUGCUGCUGUAUUGUUUGUCACGAUUAUUAUUAUCCUUCAGUAUUUAUCCUGCUACCAGCCACUUUAACCUUUUACUGCAGUGGGCUAAAUCAGGGUCACACUAAGUGUUUAUUGGCAGUCUUCAACAAAUCUACCUUGAAACAAAAGUAUACACCUCACACAUGGUUAUGGGCUUAAAAAAAGAAGACAUCUGUACCAUGUCAGAUAUGAAGUUGAAAUGUAUUCAAUUUUGAGUUUGCAUCCCAAUAUUACACUUUAUAUACAUCGCAAAAGUCUGAAAUAUAACAAAAAUGUUUGAUGUAGAAACACCAGAUCUUCUCCGGUUAAAACAAAAUAAAGUUCUAUUAAAUAUGAAAUUAUGAAAAAGAUGAAUAACAUUCCACCCAUCAGGCCACUAGAUCAUGUGGCUGCAGGAAAGGGCUACCACUUGUUUACAUGUACAUUUCUACCUCAAUCACUCCAGUACCCCUGCACAUUGUAACAACGGUAUUGGUACUGCACUCACCUGUAUACAGUAUACCUUAACUGCACUUACCUGUAUAUAGUAUACUUUAACUAUAUUCUCCUUUUUCUUUUCUUUCUUCUCUCACAGUUCACAUGUUUUAUUUCACAUCUAUAUAUCUAAUCUAUGUUAACGUUUAUUGUGCAUUGUUGGGAAAGAGCUCAUAAGUUAAGCAUACUGUACGGUGUUACACCUGCUGUAUCUUGUGCAUGUGACAUUACAUUUUUUAACUAAAACUGAGUGGUAACACUUACUGAUAAUUCAGAUGCUUUCCUCAAUUGUCUUAGAUCAGGCUGCAUGUAACUGGUUUAAAAAUCACUAGAUAGAACUCAAUGUGUAUCUACUGAUGGUAUUAAAUCAGGUUUCCUGGAUAUUAUGAAAGGUGUCCCGCAAGGGUCGAUUCUGGGUCCUGUACUUUUUACUGUUUACAUAGGCUAGGCUACAUAGGCUAGUGGUUAGAGCGUUGCUGGAUCGAAUCCCCGAGCUGACAAGGUAAAACAAAUCAAGAACAAGGCAGUUAACCCACUGUUCCCCGGUAGGCCAUCAUUGUAAAUAAGAAUUUGUUCUUAACUGACUUGCCUAGUUAAAUAAAAUAAAAUAAAUAAAAUAACAAUAUCAACUUGUUUGUAAAAUGUUUUAACCUGCUUGUAUGCUGAGGAUACUGUUGUGUAUGCUAUUGACUCCACAGUUGACCAGGCUCUAUCUGAACCUAUAUUACAGAAAAACUUUAUUGACCUGAAAUUAGUAUAGAAUGCAGGUAAAACUAAGUAUAUGUUUAUUGCGCUCUGGAGUGCAUAAAAAUAACUCUGAUUUGGUUUGUGUCCAUAUUGAUCAAGUUCCUAGGCGACAAUUUUAGUACUCAUCACUGCAUUCUCUACCAGAAAGUUGGUUGGCUCGCUUUGACGUCACAUAGGUUGAUAGAUUGCUAUGUUUUCAUUCAUAAAGCCCUUUUACAAAAAGUCUCACUGUACCAUCAUCAAACUUUAGACAUACGAGUUACCACACCCGGGCUCAGUGAGGUGAACUCUGGAAAUUCCUUUGGUCUCUAGUCUACUGAGUUAGGUAAAUCACAUUUUCUUACACCUUAUUUGUGGAACAAUGUUUUGGUGUCUCUAGGGCAAUUCAGAAAGCUGAUUGAGGACCUUAUUAUUGAUGAAUAUGUUUCGUUUUUUAUGAUCGUGUUUUUCUUUCUGCUCGCAUUUUGUAUUUAUAGUGAACAAAAAUAUAACAUGCAACAACGUGAACGAUUUUACUGAGUUACAGUUAAUAUAAGGAAAUCAGUCCAUUCAAAUGCCCUAAUCUAUGGAUUUCACAUGACUGGGCAGGGGUGCAGCAAUGGGUGGGGCAUAGGGCAUAGGCCCACCCACUUGGCAGGCAUGCCCACCCACUGGAUAGCCAAUAAUGAGUUUUUCCCCAUGAAAGGGCUUUAUUACAGACAGAAAUACUCCUCAAUCCCCCCUGCCCCCACCUCAGACGAUCCCAGUGAAAAAGCCAGAUGGGGAGGUCCUGGCCUCGUGUGGUUACACGUGGUCUGUGGUUGUGAGGCCGGUUGGAUGUACUGCCAAAUUCUGUAAAACAACAUUUGAGGCAGUUUAUGAUAGAGAAAUAAACAUGACAUUAUCUGGAAACAGCUCUGGUAGACAUUACUGCAGUCAGCAUGUUAAUUGCACGCUCCCUCAAAAUUUGAGACAUCUGUGGCAUUGUGUUGUGUGACAAAUCUGCACAUUUUAAAGUGGCCUUUUAUUGGCCCCAGCACAAAGUGCAUCUGUGUAAUGAUCAUGCUGUUUAGCUUCUUGAUAGUCCACACCUGUCAGGUGCAUGGAUUAUCUUGGCAAAGGAGAAAUAUGAACAAAGGAGGGUUAUAAACAAAUUUGUGCACAAAAUUUGAGAGAAAUAAGCUUUUGUGUGUAUGUAAAAUGUCUGGGAUUUUUUAUUUCAGAUCAUGAAACAUGUGACAAACACUUUACAUGUUGCCUUUAUAUUUUUGUUCCGUGUGUAUUUUCUGUAAUUUGUGUAAUUCAUGGCUUAUCUGUAAAGAGACCUUGGUCUCAGUAUGACUCCCUGAUAAAAUAAAGGUUAAAUAAAACUACCA